rnacentral:rRNA from 1 species
UACGUAGGGUGCAAGCGUUGUCCGGAAUUAUUGGGCGUAAAGAGCUUGUAGGCGGUUUGUCGCGUCUGCCGUGAAAUUUCGGGGCUCAACCCCGAACUUGCAGUGGGUACGGGCAGACUAGAGUGUGGUAGGGGAGACUGGAAUUCCUGGUGUAGCGGUGAAAUGCGCAGAUAUCAGGAGGAACACCGAUGGCGAAGGCAGGUCUCUGGGCCAUAACUGACGCUGAGAAGCGAAAGCAUGGGGAGCGAACAGG